rnacentral:rRNA from 1 species
GACGAACGCUGGCGGCGUGCUUAACACAUGCAAGUCGAGCGGAAAGGCCCUUCGGGGUACUCGAGCGGCGAACGGGUGAGUAACACGUGAGUAACCUGCCCCAGACUUUGGGAUAACCCUCGGAAACGGGGGCUAAUACCGGAUACGACACAGCUUCGCAUGGGGUCUGUGUGGAAAGUUUUUCGGUUUGGGAUGGGCUCGCGGCCUAUCAGCUUGUUGGUGGGGUGAUGGCCUACCAAGGCGACGACGGGUAGCCGGCCUGAGAGGGCGACCGGCCACACUGGGACUGAGACACGGCCCAGACUACUACGGGAGGCAGCAGUGGGGAAUAUUGCACAAUGGGCGGAAGCCUGAUGCAGCGACGCCGCGUGAGGGAUGACGGCCUUCGGGUUGUAAACCUCUUUCAGCAGGGACGAAGCGUAAGUGACGGUACCUGCAGAAGAAGCGCCGGCCAACUACGUG